GGUUUUGUGGAUGGCUUGUUUUUUUUUUAUUUAUUUCGGUGGACUUCUGCAAGUUUCUUUUCCUAAAGGACAAAAUUAUAGCAUUAAGUAUUAAUGUAUACAUUACAUCAUAUCAAGUGAUGUCUUUGAUUGAUUUGAUUUUUAUUAAGGUUUGAAUUAAGAUUUUAUAAUUUUAAAAAUAAUUAAUAAUUUUAUCAAUUUAUUAUCUAGUUAUAUUAGUUAUCAAUUUAUUAGAAAUGAAUGAAUGCUACUUCGUAGCCUUAUAGGUUUAUCUUCGACCAUAAUUAUAUAUUGAAUUAAAAUUUCCAUGAUUCAAUUUAUAAACAUUAAAAUAUUUGGCUUAAAGAAUAAAAAUGGUAAAAAUGGUUUGACAAUUCAUUAAUGAAUUGCAUACUUCGUUAACUUUCAUAUAUUAUUUUUUUUUUAUGAGUAAAAUAAUUUAAAUAUGGUCUAAUUUUGUUGUUUGUAACAUUGUAGGGGCGAUUUGUGAGAAGGCUAA
rnacentral:misc_RNA from 1 species